rnacentral:sRNA from 2 species
UGACCCCCUCUCAGAGCUUUGUAUGAUUCUUGAUUCAUAGAGACUUCGCUUCCCUCUGUCUCAUUAGCUUUCCCACUCCCUCUCCGCUUCUUCAUCCUCCUGGAAAGUAAGUUUUCACGAAGCCGACCACGCCAGAGCUGAGGCCCCGCUAGUCCCCGCCGACUCAUAGCAGGACGCCGCCGAGGAUCCUCAUUUAAUUACGCCGGCCCCGCGUGAAACAACGAUAUGAUCAGGUUUGCUGUGACGGAAAGGGAAAAAAAAUGAAAAUUAACUACUCCGUUCUGUUUACCGCAGAAACAAAGGAGAAUACUACCAUGAAAUGGAUCUUUGCUUGGAUUAUGCAGAUAGAUAUAUAGCUAUGAUUUCCCUUGGAAUAAAUCAAGUAUUUAACCAAAAAAAAAAAAGAAAAAGGAAAAGGAAAAGGAAAAAGGAAAAAGGAAAAAGGAACCCAUAAUCCACCAAAGUUCACAGUCUACAGAACACUGCUGUUGCUGAUGAUAGCCCACCAUACCGUACCGUGCAACACAUGCACAUAUCUUCGGCCUGCUGCCGUGUAUACAGGUAUAUCCGGCUCACUGUCUCCUGAUCUCCCUGAAAUCAAGCAAGGAAUCUCCCUAGUCUCCAUCCUGCGACCCCGGUAUCCUGGAUAAGCAGGCCUGAGGGAGAAAAUGAGAAUGCGG